AAGCCUGAUGCAGCAACGCCGCGUGAACGAUGAAGGUGCUUCGGAUCGUAAAGUUCUGUUGCAGGGGAAGAUAAUGACGGUACCCUGUGAGGAAGCCCCGGCUAACUACGUGCCAGCAGCCGCGGUAAUACGUAGGGGGCUAGCGUUAUCCGGAUUUACUGGGCGUAAAGGGUGCGUAGGUGGUCCUUCAAGUCGGUGGUUAAAGGCUACGGCUCAACCGUAGUAAGCCGCCGAAACUGGAGGACUUGAGUGCAGGAGAGGAAAGUGGAAUUCCCAGUGUAGCGGUGAAAUGCGUAGAUAUUGGGAGGAACACCAGUAGCGAAGGCGGCUUUCUGGACUGCAACUGACACUGAGGCACGAAAGCGUGGGUAGCAAACAGGAUUAGAUACCCUGGUAGUCCACGCUGUAAACGAUGAGUACUAGGUGUCGGGGGUUACCCCCCUCGGUGCCGCAGCUAACGCAUUAAGUACUCCGCCUGGGGAGUACGCACGCAAGUGUGAAACUCAAAGGAAUCGACGGGGACCCGCACAAGUAGCGGAGCAUGUGGUUUAAUUCGAAGCAACGCGAAGAACCU
rnacentral:rRNA from 1 species